CCUACGGGAGGCUGCAGUGGGGGAUAUUGCACAAUGGGGGAAACCCUGAUGCAGCGACGCCGCGUGUGGGAAGACGGUCUUCUGGAUUGUAAACCACUGUCCCCAGGGACGAAAAUGACGGUACCUGGGGAGGAAGCUCCGGCUAACUACGUGCCAGUAGCCGCGGUAAUACGUAGGGAGCAAGCGUUGUCCGGAAUUACUGGGUGUAAAGGGAGCGUAGGCGGGGAUGCAAGUUGGGUGUCAAAACUACCGGCUCAACCGAUAGUCGCACUCAAAACUGCAACUCUUGAGUGAAGUAGAGGCAGGCGGAAUGCCUAGUGUAGCGGUGAAAUGCGUAGAUAUUAGGAGGAACACCAGUUGCGAAGGCGGCCUGCUGGGCUUUUACUGACGCUGAGGCUCGAAAGUGUGGGGAGCAAACAGGAUUAGAUACCCUAGUAGUC
rnacentral:rRNA from 1 species